GGUGGGUAGUUUGACUGGGGCGGUCUCCUCCUAAAGAGUAACGGAGGAGCACGAAGGUUGGCUAAUCCUGGUCGGACAUCAGGAGGUUAGUGCAAUGGCAUAAGCCAGCUUGACUGCGAGCGUGACGGCGCGAGCAGGUGCGAAAGCAGGUCAUAGUGAUCCGGUGGUUCUGAAUGGAAGGGCCAUCGCUCAACGGAUAAAAGGUACUCCGGGGAUAACAGGCUGAUACCGCCCAAGAGUUCAUAUCGACGGCGGUGUUUGGCACCUCGAUGUCGGCUCAUCACAUCCUGGGGCUGAAGUAGGUCCCAAGGGUAUGGCUGUUCGCCAUUUAAAGUGGUACGCGAGCUGGGUUUAGAACGUCGUGAGACAGUUCGGUCCCUAUCUGCCGUGGGCGCUGGAGAACUGAGGGGGGCUGCUCCUAGUACGAGAGGACCGGAGUGGACGCAUCACUGGUGUUCGGGUUGUCAUGCCAAUGGCACUGCCCGGUAGCUAAAUGCGGAAGAGAUAAGUGCUGAAAGCAUCUAAGCACGAAACUUGCCCCGAGAUGAGUUCUCCCUGAGACUUAGAGUCUCCUGAAGGAACGUUGAAGACGACGACGUUGAUAGGCCGGGUGUGUAAGCGCAGCGAUGCGUUGAGCUAACCGGUACUAAUGAACCGUGAGGCUUAACCUU
rnacentral:rRNA from 1 species